GAUAGUAAUUUUUUGAGAUAAGGAAUAAGGUUUGAAGAUUUCAAAUUUUAAAAUAAUAUUAGUAUAUUAGUGUUAGUACUGUUAGAUUUUUUUAUUAAUUCAAAUUAACUUGCUACAAGUUUUGACAGUUUCUUUUUUGUCCUGUUGGUUUUUUUUUCUUUUUGGUUCACUAUGUAUGAAUAUUGCCUCAUACGCAUCACAAUAUACAUGGUAAAAAUUUCAGUCACAAUUUCAUGUUUAUGGUCAGUACAUGGAAACGAUAAAUUUGUAACAUGCACUGUUACAAUAUUUAAACAAUUUGAAUGUUUCCAGUGGCCAUUUGAUUCCACAAAUUGGGGG